rnacentral:rRNA from 1 species
UACGUAGGUGGCAAGCGUUGUCCGGAAUUAUUGGGCGUAAAGCGCGCGCAGGCGGUCCUUUAAGUCUGAUGUGAAAGCCCACGGCUCAACCGUGGAGGGUCAUUGGAAACUGGGGGACUUGAGUGCAGGAGAGAAGAGUGGAAUUCCACGUGUAGCGGUGAAAUGCGUAGAGAUGUGGAGGAACACCAAUGGCGAAGGCAGCUCUCUGGGACGGUACUGACGCUGAGACGCGAAAGCGUGGGGAGCGAACAGG